rnacentral:rRNA from 1 species
AACGAACGCUGGCGGCAGGCUUAACACAUGCAAGUCGAACGCCCCGCAAGGGGAGUGGCAGACGGGUGAGUAACGCGUGGGAAUCUACCCAGUUCUACGGAACAACUGAGGGAAACUUCAGCUAAUACCGUAUACGCCCUACGGGGGAAAGAUUUAUCGGAAUUGGAUGAGCCCGCGUUGGAUUAGCUAGUUGGUGGGGUAAUGGCCUACCAAGGCGACGAUCCAUAGCUGGUCUGAGAGGAUGAUCAGCCACACUGGGACUCAGACAUGGCCCAGACUCCUACGGGAGGCAGCAGUGGGGAAUAUUGGACAAUGGGCGAAAGCAUGAUCCAGCCAUGCCGCGUGAAUGAUGAAGGCCCUAGGGUUGUAAAGCUCUUUCAGUGGGGAAGAUAAUGACGGUACCCACAGAAGAAGCCCCGGCUAACUUCGUGCCAGCCGCCGCCGUAACAC